AACGAACGCUGGCGGCAUGCCUAACACAUGCAAGUCGAACGAGACCUUCGGGUCUAGUGGCGCACGGGUGCGUAACGCGUGGGAACCUGCCCUUAGGUUCGGAAUAACUCCCCGAAAGGGGUGCUAAUACCGGAUAAUGUCUUCGGACCAAAGAUUUAUCGCCUUUGGAUGGGCCCGCGUUGGAUUAGCUAGUUGGUAGGGUAAAAGCCUACCAAGGCGACGAUCCAUAGCUGGUCUGAGAGGAUGAGCAGCCACACUGGGACUGAGACACGGCCCAGACUCCUACGGGAGGGAGCAGUGGGGAAUAUUGGAAAAUGGGCGAAAGCCUGAUCCAGCAAUGCCGCGUGAGUGAUGAAGGCCUUAGGGUUGUAAAGCUCUUUUACCCGGGAUGAUAAUGACAGUACCGGGAGAAUAAGCUCCGGCUAACUCCGUG
rnacentral:rRNA from 1 species